AAUGUACUGUACCCUCUCUGGUCCUCCCAGUGCUUUUUAUAUGGGUUAAGGCCAGGGAGUGCUUCGUGGUAAAAUAGCUAGUUGGUGUCUCACAAACGGGCAUUUUUUUUGCGCUGGUCCAUUAUAAGCUGCCACUAUUAUAACCAAUUUCUCAGUGCCAGUGUACAUACACAGUUCUACUAAUAAUUAGUUUCCCUAAGCCUUACAAAAUGUACCUGUAGGUAGUCAUUGUUAUGUAAGAACUCAAAAAUUAACUCUGCUAUGUCAUACAAGUGUACCAUACAUGAGUAAAAAUUUGCUACAACAGUGUACAUUACACCUUGCUUCCCUAGUGCACAAAUGUAUUCAAGCCAGUAUUUGAAUAGUUUGGUAUUCUAAAGGUUUUCUGUGUGAUUUAGUUUCUUUACAGGAAUUUACUGUACAGCAUCAGCAAGCAGUGUAAUUUAAGAUUUAUGUGUGCUGUAAAAGGUGUGCUUUGCCGCUAGAAUUGAUAAAACAUGGGCUGAGGCUUCCAUACAAGGACAAACUUCAAUUUCGCUCUACCACCAUCAGCACUUGGCUGGCGCUUGCAAAAUGAAUCACAUCAGGUAUUGCUUGCCUAUGUCUACAAGAACCGUCACGCGUGGCCUGUGACAGCAAGCUUUUGUGGGCAGCAAGUGCUCUCCUACGAAGGCUGGCCUACUCUGGCAGCGGCGGCAAUCAUCUUCAAGAUUUAUCCAUAAUCACCUUUGCUGCUUUUUGUCACUCUUGUUGAUUACACUUUCUGCGUCUUUUCUAAUUUAUUAGGUAAUAAAGUAUGAGUAUGUGA